UUAAUUUGAAUUGAUUUAUGCAUCUGAAUAUGAUCAAUGUUUACAAAAAAUGCAUGCCUAGAAUAGUAAUAGCAAUUACUACACGACUUCAGGAUCGAGGAGAAGGUCUAAUCACGCUUCCCCAAUGAAUCCGUUGCUAAUUCGAUUCCCCAGCAACGCCAGUUAUUCCCCAGAAGAAAUUGGCAUCACUAGACAAAUUGGUCAUCUCUUCUACCCCCGGCCAGGCUCUGUUAAAUAUCCCUGCCAUCAGACAGAAAUCAAAUACCCUCAGCUAAGAAAGGGUCAUCAAUACAAAUAUCUCCAACCAGAAGACUGAGAUUUAUUUCCCCAGUAGAGUCCCCUGGAAGAACGUUUCAGACACAUAGCGCAUUCAUUACAUCAUUGCAUAACAUAUACAUGCAUACAAUGUUCGCAUUUAUUUCAGACGCAUAAUUCACUCAUUACAUCAUUUCACAGCAUACGCCUGCAUACAUUGUUCGCAUUUAGUUUCAGAAGCAUUUAUUUCAGACGCAUAAUUCACUCAUUACAUCAUUUCACAGCAUACGCCUGCAUACAUUGUUCGCAUUUAGUUUCAGAAACAUAAAACAUCUCAUGCAUCAUGACAUAGCAUGAAGCUGACUUGAUUUUUCAGGUUAAUCGUCCUCCUGACACAGUCAAAGUAAAGAUCCAGUCAAACAGAUACUCCUAUUGAUUACAUUCAAGACAUUUGCUGCAAACACAACAAAUAUUGUCGGAUACAGCCUAACGUACGGUUCAUUCUGAUUCAGCUCAACAUGUGACUCCUUCAACUCAGAGACGAUCUAAUGUAUGAUCCAUUCGGACCUUCAAAUCCUCUGAUACUACCUAGCGUACGGCACAUUCCGAGGUGUAGUCUAGCAUACGACUACUUUCUUCUUCAGAUACAUCUUUCAGAUAUGCUCCAUGUCAACAUUCAUUCUGACACCCUCCUAACGAUGGCAUCUAUAAGCCCAUCCCAUACAUUUAUCGCAAAUACAGCAUACACAAAUACUAUCAGAUAUAGCCUAGCGCACGGUUCAUUCUGAUUCAGCUCAACAUAUGACUCCUUCAACUCAGAUACGGUCUAAUGUACGACCCAGUUAGACCUUCAUCUCCUCAGAUGCUACCUAGUGUACGGUACAUUUUUGAAGUGUAGUCUAGCAUAUGACUACCCCUUGUAUCAUCAGAUUCAGCCUAAUGGACGACUCAUUCUGCUCAGAUACGGUCUAAUGUACGACCCAGUUAGACCUUCAUCUCCUCAGAUGCUACCUAGUGUACGGUACAUUUCUGAAGUGUAGUCUAGCGAUACGGUCUAAUGUACGACCCAGUUAGACCUUCAUCUCCUCAGAUGCUACCUAGUGUACGGUACAUUUCUGAAGUGUAGUCUAGCGUACGACUACCCCCUUUUAUCAUCAGAUUCAGCCUAAUGGACGACUCAUUCUGCUCAGAUAUGCUCUAAUGUACGACCCAGUUAGACCUUCAUCUCCUCAGAUGCUACCUAGUGUACGGUACCUUUCUGAAGUGUAGUCUAGCGUACGAUUACCCCCUUUUAUCAUCAGAUUCAGCCUAAUGGACGGCUCAUUCUGCUCAGAUACGGUCUAAUGUACGACCCAGUUAGACCUUCAUCUCCUCAGAUGCUACCUAGUGUACGGUACAUUUCUGAAAUGUAGUCUAGCGUACGACUACCCCCUUUUAUCAUCAGAUUCAGCCUAAUGGACGGCUCAUUCUGCUCAG
rnacentral:lncRNA from 1 species